rnacentral:rRNA from 1 species
CUACGGGUUGCUCCAGUGGGGAAUAUUGCACAAUGGGCGAAAGCCUGAUGCAGCAACGCCGCGUGAGUGAUGAAGGUCUUCGGAUUGUAAAGCUCUGUUCUUGGGGAAGAAUAAAUGACGGUACCCAAGGAGAAAGCCCCGGCUAACUACGUGCCAGCAGCCGCGGUAAUACGUAGGGGGCAAGCGUUAUCCGGAAUCACUGGGCGUAAAGGGUGCGUAGGCGGCUUAGCAAGUCAGAAGUGAAAGGCAUUGGCUCAACCAAUGUAAGCUUUUGAAACUGUUAGGCUUGAGUGCAGGAGAGGAAAGUGGAAUUCCUAGUGUAGCGGUGAAAUGCGUAGAUAUUAGGAGGAACACCAGUGGCGAAGGCGACUUUCUGGACUGUAACUGACGCUGAGGCACGAAAGCGUGGGGAGCGAACAGGAUUAGAUACCCCCGUAGUC